rnacentral:rRNA from 1 species
CAGCCGCCGCGGUAAUACAGAGGGUGCGAGCGUUAAUCGGAUUUACUGGGCGUAAAGCGCACGUAGGCGGCUUUGUAAGUUAGAGGUGAAAGCCUGGGGCUCAACUCCAGAAUUGCCUUUAAGACUGCAUCGCUUGAAUCGCGGAGAGGUGAGUGGAAUUCCGAGUGUAGAGGUGAAAUUCGUAGAUAUUCAGAAGAACACCAGUGGCGAAGGCGGCUCACUGGACGCGUAUUGACGCUGAGGUGCGAAAGCGUGGGGAGCAAACAGGAUUAGAUACCCCUGUAGUCCCUGUCUCUUAUAC